CCAAUUAGAACUCCCUCCUCUCAGUCUCCCAACCCCAAUUUUAUCAAACCCUCUCUCUUCUCUCCUCUCAUAUUCUCUUUCCUUCCCCCGCCAAGGAGAUGGUGGCGUUGAUUGGUUUAUCUGUCAUUGUACACAACUAUUGGUUCCAUGAUCGAUCAGAUUACUAGUAGAUCCAGCAAUUUACAGGACACACUGUUCAUCUCAAGUUUGAAGGAUAUGGUUCACACGAACGGCUGUAUUGAGAGCAAGAAGAAACAAUCAUCUAAGGCUGAAGUCCGGAGUUAUUUGAGGCAAGAGAUAAUGUUGCUCGAUAGAAGAUUAUAGCACCAAGGCACAAUUCCAUGUGCUGUAGAGAAAGCAUUGGAAUGUAAAUCUUUCUCACAAAAUAUCACUCAUCUCACCUCAAUGUCUAUGGCACGAGAUUUAGGAAAUGGCGCUCCAUAACUGACUGGGAUUACGGCGGUUUUUGGAUACCGCCACAAAUACUGAUUUGCAGCGGUUCGAAACCGCCACUAAAGGCAAAUAUAACCGCCGAAUAUACACAUUUUUUGUAGUGAAAUUAUAAGAACAUAUUACUUGUGAUCUUUUCGGCAAGAAAUGUAAAUUUAAUAUGUUUUGCAAGCCAGCGUGAGAGAUAUUGCUCUCUUGGCAAUACUAAAGAUAUGUAAUAUAGAUUUUAAGGUUUUAGUAGCAUUAUUAUUACGUCCUACUAGUUUUUGUAGGAAAGUUGAUAUAUUAGGGCUACAGUUGAAAUUC